AACAAUGAAUACAUGAAUAUGAAAAUUUUCAUGAGAAUUUGCCGGUGUAUGUACGCACCGUGGCUCCACGCUGGAACCUCGAAUGAACGCAGUAGCUGCAUGACGGCGUUGCACUCGGCUGCAUCAUCGCGCAUCGCAUCAAUCUGAGUGAGUGAAUCCAGUGCCGAUCGGAACGCGUAAAUCUGCGAUAGCGCGAUUGAAACGAAAAUUAAGAGACGCAAGGAAGGAGGCGUGUUUGAUGAAGAUGACGACGAUGUAGAUGACCGGGCAAAAACGUGAACUCGCAAUCGUUAAAGCGGCGGAUGAAUCUCGUGUCUGGCGGACGUACCGUGUGCUGAAGGGACAUUGUAAAUUCAGGCACGGUACUGCAAACUCCUAACCACGCACGUACGCAUUCAUGCACGUAUGCACGCGUGCACGUCCGUUCUUUCGCGGACAGAUGAAAAAGACGGGAAAUGAGAUGUGCCUCGAGUUUGUAGCCCUCUCCCAGAGAUGACCAGUAAUUUGUUAAAGGAUUGACGUCUCGAAAAUUGGAUAUUAAACGAAUGUUUUUUUUCCCCCUCUUGUGCGACCCCCUCUCGCUCUUUCUCUUCUCCCGAUUCCAAUCGUCCUGUAGAUCGCCACUUUAUGUUUCCAACCGGUUAUUGACUCUCCCCGAAAAGGACAUCGACGAUUAGCGGUCAUUUUGCAAUCGAUCGAGUUUAUUUUUUGUUUAAAAGAAUCGAUAAUUAUCAUGCAAAUUAAUUAUUAUACUUGAGUGCACCGCAUGCUUUCAGGGAUUUAGUAUCAAAAUACCAUCGUGCAAUGUUUAUGCUUAUUUAUAUAAUAUAUUGGUUGAUGGACAUGUUGUUUCAUUUUAUGAAAUUUAAUCAUCGCACAAAUUAAUAUUCCAUAAAGCUUGAAUUGGUUAUUAGAUAUACAGUAUUUAAGGAAUGUUCCGAGAUAAAGCGGAAUUUAAUCCGCGUAAUGAGUAAAUAAAUAUACAUGACGCGCACCAACCCACGCGGAUGUUUGAUAAAGGCAGACGUCGAUCAAACAUCCCUAUCCCUUUCGUAAAGCAAAGAACUCCGUGUUCCGAUUCUUCCGAGUUUCGAUUACGGCCAUCAAACGCGAUGCACGAUUUAUUACUAGUACACAACUAACGCGAGCUUGUCGCGUCCGGUAGUGAUUAGCGACGCUAUUGGUUAAUCUGUCGGCGAUUAUGUCGAAUUCAUCGGUGCAACGUGCGGAAUUCGCUCGACUUCCGAUUUAAUUAUUGCUAUUUACCAUUUCGAAUUCAUGACGGGACGUUGCUACCGAUCGAAUCAUUGCCCUUCCACUACAAACGCGAAACUCCCAAUUGGAAUGAAAUUAUGCGACGGAUCAUCUUACAAAGUUAUUAUCAAUAGAAAAAGGAUCUCAUUAUGUAACGUUAAAUACGAUGUAGAUACAAUGUCGAAUGUAAUAUUAAUUAUUACUCCUUAAUAAAGUUUAAAGUAC